CUUCCGGUCCAGCCCGGAUCUUCCGCCGGGUUUUGGGAGUAGCCGCCGCCGCCGCGCCGGGCACUUCCGGUCCAGCCCGGAUCUGCCGCCGGGCUUUGGGAAUAGCCGCGUCCGCGGACGGGUUCCCGGCCGGCAGGCCGCCUGGAAGAGGAAGCGGGCGGCCCUGGCCUUGCGGUAUCCGCGUCGGCCCGGCCUAAACCCUUCCUUCCCUGAAACCUCCGAACUGGUCUGGCUGAGCCACGGAGGGUGCGAAAGGCAGAAACAGCUCCUGCGCACGAUAGCCCCGGGGCCGUCCGGAUAGAGAGCCCCAGGUGCAGCUCAGAACCCUGUAAACCGCUGAAACGGGAACAGCGGCAUGCGGCCUCCAAGGAGAAGGAAAUCCGCGCCGGAGCGGGAUGGUUUUGUCCGGGGAUGAGCUCAAAGGGAAGGAGGGGAGGGGUCCGCCAAGGGGCAGCCAGGAGCAGGCGGCCUCCCAGGAUGGGACAUGGGCAGAGAAAACUUCACCAACCUCGUCUCUUCAGACAUUUGCUUCAAGUGUUCUCUGCCGGCCUGGAGUUUAAAGAAACAGGUUGGCAGUUAGUAAAGAUCAGAAGAGCCAUUCUCUGAGCUUAAUGAGCACCUAUGAGGACCACACUUUGGGUCUUCUUGACUCAACCCUAUGAGACUGUCUGAAGAGCCAGCAGACCAUCCCACGUUGAUAUUUAGGGACUGCAGCAUCUUCUUCUUUUCUAAAACAUCACGGGUCGACUCUCAUCCAUACUCAGACCACUGCAGAGCUCUCCUCUGCUCUGAUGGCCUGCAUGCCACAAAACCCUCUGUAUUCCUUGACCGGGAAGUCUCCAUUGAUUUUUUUAGAGAGUUGAAUGGAGGGAGGUGGAGAGAGAGAGAGAACAGCAUUGACAGGAGACACGCACAUUGAUUGGUUGCCUCCUGCUCGCACCCAAUGGAGACCAGAAAGCAAACCUGCAACCCUUUGGAUCAAGGGCUGACACUCUAGUCACUGUGCUACACCAGCCAGGGCCCAAUUUUCCUUCAUUUUGUUUCAGGUUGCUGCACUGUGGACUAAAAGGACAGCAGUAGGCCUGGAUUGCAGAAGAAAGUCUUCUCUGCUCAAAGAAAGUACUAGUAGAAGGACAGCACAUUUAGAUCCGGAAAAGUACUGAUUGAUAGAACAUCCUCCCAACUAACACUCGAAUCAAUUGGGAUGGAACAGAGGGACAACACACAAAAC